CGGCUGGCGGAGCAGUACAGUCGGUCUCACUGACUUCGCUGCUCUCGCUGCCAGAAUCCGAGUCCAUCAACUUUGACCUUCCAGAGCUGCUGGACCGCACUUUCCUUCGUCGCGUCCCCGGUUCUUCUCCCGGCACCGAAACCCUCCCAAUCCAGAUACAACCCUGUAAAAUGAAACGAGGAACUAUGAUGUUGAGCUCAGAGGCGCUUGGUGGCGCACUAUUCAUAGCUCCACCAUCACAUUGAGGGUACUCACAUGAACUGGACUAUGCAUUGAAUAACAAGAAUGAGUGGUCAGUGUUGUUCAUUAUUUUGUUUUUUUACUGAGAAGCCCAGAAGAGAUAAGUUUAAUGAUGUAAAAAAAACAUAUUUCAUAUUUUCCUUAAACUGUAAACAAAACUACCUUGGAAAUAGAAUGUAAAUUACGUUGGUGUAGACAUUGAUGCAACACAGUGGCUAAAAUAUGUCCAUCUUCCAACACUUAAUCUUUACAGGCAGCAGACUCCUCUGUAUAAUAGUUGAAACCAUUUUACCUUUAGAUAUUCUAUGAAAAGUGACACGGGCAACAAAACUGAUCAUUUAUCAAAGAAAAGUGCCAUUUUUCAAUGUUAAUUCAUUGAACAUAUUCCUACGGCAUAAUAUGACAACUCAGUAUAACGUUGUACAGAGAAAAACUAUCUUCUAUCUUCUUUGAUGAAUAUGUCUGACAUCAGAGUAUAAAAAUAAGAAGCUUGACCAUAAAAAGUAGCUGCCACAUGUCAGAAGGAACACCUUGUCAAUAGUUAUAUUUUUUCCAAGAUUCAAAUGACAGGUUAAACAUACAAAGCUUAUGACAACAUAGGAGCGUGUUGAUCAAGUGUUCUUUGGUCUAAAAUUAAAAAGUACGGUUCCUUAUUUCAAGCAUUUACCCUCAUGAAAGGGCAAAGCUGAACUUUAUAUAAUGAACUUUUUAUAUUGCAAGUUAGACAAUGUGUUCAAGUAAACUAUCUGAAGAUUUAUGUUUGUGUCUGAAACUCACAGUACCCACUAUUUAGCAGGCAGAAGGCUUACAAGUUUCCCCAAUGGUAACAUGAACCAUCUCUAAACACAUCAUUAAGACACAGCUGACAUCACACUAUGGACUGAGACAUUUGUUGUCUUUGCUUGUAAAGACUGCAAUUUACAAAUUAAAGCUCAAUCUAGUGUUGCAUUCAUGGUACGCUGCAGGAGAUGUGAGCAUAAGCUACAUUUCUAAAAUUGUGAAUGCAAAAGGAGAUGAGCACAUGGAAACAAAUCCUUAAAAAAAACUAUUGCAUUCUAUUUAGUAAGUAGCAUACAGUAUGAGGUUUCAGACAUGAUGCAUGUGACCAAAUUGGGCAAGGCAAAAUAAAAAAAAAAAGAAAGACAAAAACUUGCUGCAUAUUCACACAAAGUUGUCAC